rnacentral:rRNA from 1 species
CAGUCGCCGCGGUAAGACGAACCGUGCGAACGUUAUUCGGAAUCACUGGGCUUAAAGCGCGUGUAGGCGGAGGGCACGUCCGUCGCUGAAAUCCCCCGGCUCAACCGGGGAACGGGCGCGGAUACGACUCUUCUGGAGGAACGUAGGGGGACCUGGAACUUCCGGUGGAGCGGUGAAAUGCGUUGAGAUCGGAAGGAACGCCCGUGGCGAAAGCGAGGUCCUGGACGUUUACUGACGCUGAGACGCGAAAGCCAGGGGAGCGAACGGGAUUAGAUACCCCUGUAGUCCCUGUCUCUUAUAC